rnacentral:rRNA from 1 species
UACGUAGGGGGCAAGCGUUGUCCGGAUUUAUUGGGCGUAAAGAGCGUGUAGGCGGUUAGGUAGGUCCGUUGUGAAAACUCGAGGCUCAACCUCGAGACGCCGAUGGAAACCAUCUAACUAGAGUCCGGAAGAGGAGAGUGGAAUUCCUGGUGUAGCGGUGAAAUGCGCAGAUAUCAGGAGGAACACCUGUGGCGAAAGCGGCUCACUGGACCACAACUGACGCUGAGGCGCGAAAGCUAGGGUAGCGAACGGG